CAAGCGGUGGAGCAUGUGGUUAAUUCGAAGCAACGCGAAGAACCUUACCAGGCCUUGACAUGCAGAGAACUUCAGAGAUGGAUUGGUGCCUUCGGGAACUCUGACACAGGUGCUGCAUGGCUGUCGUCAGCUCGUGUCGUGAGGUGUUGGGUUAAGUCCCGUAACGAGCGCAACCCUUGUCCUUAGUUACCAGCACGUUAUGGUGGGCACUCUAAGGAGACUGCCGGUGACAAACCGGAGGAAGGUGGGGGAUGACGUCAAGUCAUCAUGGCCCUUACGGCCUGGGCUACACACGUGCUACAAUGGCCGGCACAGCGGGAAGCGGAGGGGCGACCCUGAGCGGAUCCCUUGAAAGCCGGUCCCAGUUCGGAUUGCAGUCUGCAACUCGACUGCAUGAAGUUGGAAUCGCUAGUAAUCGCGGAUCAGCCAAGCCGCGGUGAAUACGUUCCCGGGCCUU
rnacentral:rRNA from 1 species